UACGUAGGGUGCAAGCGUUGUCCGGAAUUAUUGGGCGUAAAGGGCUCGUAGGCGGUUUGUCGCGUCUGCUGUGAAAACUGGAGGCUCAACCUCCAGCUUGCAGUGGGUACGGGCAGACUAGAGUGCGGUAGGGGAGAUUGGAAUUCCUGGUGUAGCGGUGAAAUGCGCAGAUAUCGGGAGGAACACCGGUGGCGAAGGCGGUCUCUGGGCCUUACCUGACGCUGAGGAGCGAAAGCGUGGGGAGCGAACAGG
rnacentral:rRNA from 1 species